CUCACGGCGUAGAGCAACACGGAGCCCCGGCGGAAAUGUUUGGAGGAUUUUAGGAUCUGCUGCAGUGUAACGGUAAAUUUCAGCGAUGUUAUUCGCUGCAGCAGGUCGUGUGAAACGCGGUGCAGCAUUCCAGCUGCUGAAAGUCAAGGUGACUGGCUGAGGGAUGAAUGUGUGAACUGUUCGCUAAUCGGGCCGAGUUCAGCUCUGUUCCUAGACACCGAACGGCAGCGCUCGCCUUCAUCAGCGGCCGAGCGCUGGCAUCUGCUGCGGAGACGGCCCAAAACUAACCGAAUCAACGCCAAAUGUGUGUGUGGUGGUCUUUAUUAAUUAGCUGCUGUAUGCAUUUAACCACACAGGAUGCAGACGUGCUUGUUUCCUCUUUUUUUCCUUUUUCUUUUUUUUUAGCUAAGAUGUUAAUUCUCAAUGAAAGCCCGACCAAAUGCAAUUCAGCAAAAACGAUGGCUAAAAUAAUC